GUUCUUAUGUUGUACUGUUAUACCACUGUCCCAGGUUAGGGGAGGGUUGGGAUCCCACUAACAUGUUUAACCCCGCCACAUUAUUUUGUAAUGUGCCUGUCCCAAGUCAGGAGCCUUUAAUUCAGUGGUUGUCGUUUGUUUAUGUGUUACAUAUUUGUGUUUCGUUCAAUUUUUUACAUAAAUAAGGCCGUUAGUUUUCUCGUUUGAAUUGUUUUACAUUGUCUUAUCGGGCCUAUUAUAGCUGACUAUGCGGUAUGGGCUUUGCUCAUUGUUGAAGGCCGUACGGUGACCUAUAGUUGUUAAUGUCUGUGUCAUUUUGGUCUUUUGUGGAUAGUUGUCUCAUUGGCAAUCAUACCACAUCUUCUUUUUUAUAUUUAGCAUGUUUUAUA
rnacentral:lncRNA from 1 species